ACUCUCAUGCCUCCAAAAUACACUUCGACGUCGUGAGGAAGUCGCAUAGUUGAUGUUUGUGAGACCAGCUACGGCUGAUAUUGGAUAGUCAAUGUUGUGAUUGUGUCGUAUGAUUGUGUCGCCUGAGCCCGCCCCUGCGCGGGCGACCCGCCGGCGGAGCUCGGCCCACCGGACGGGGCCUGGGGCCGCCUCUGCACCGCCCGGGGCGGUGACCGGCCGACCGGCCGGUCGGCUGUCGGGGCUGCGGCGUCUGGGCGGGCCAGUUGGCGUUCAGACUCUGAGUGGUGUGCGUGUCCAAUAAAGCCUUAUUAAGCCACGGGAAGGUCGGCCUUUGGAAGACCAAGCUGUUCCGGGUGAUCUUCCACGCUGUCAACCUGAACCCGACGGUGACCUGCCAAGAAAAGGAUCUCGAAAAGGCCGUCGGCAAGUGGCUGACAAACUGCCGCGACCGUGACGGCCAGCGAUCAGACCGGGGGCGAGGCCGUCCGCCCGCCCAGUGACUUGUGUCUCGAUGAGCGCAGAAAGAAAUACAGGACUGUGCCUGAUGUAUGUUGUUUUUAUGGGAAUAAAGUGCUGGAAGGAA